UACGUAGGGGGCGAGCGUUGUCCGGAAUCAUUGGGCGUAAAGCGCGUGUAGGCGGCUUGGUAAGUCCGGUGUGAAACCUUGGGGCUCAACCCCAAGCCUGCACUGGAUACUGCAUCGCUUGAGUCCGGGAGGGGAGAGCGGAAUUCCUAGUGUAGCGGUGAAAUGCGCAGAUAUUAGGAAGAACACCGGUGGCGAAGGCGGCUCUCUGGAACGGUACUGACGCUGAGACGCGAAAGCGUGGGGAGCGAACAGG
rnacentral:rRNA from 1 species